GAUGGUUGAUAUUUGGUUUUUUGUUGCCUGAUUCCUUUGAAUGUUCUAUAUUUUGUUUUGUUUGCUGUAUCGGGAAGGAGAACACCAUGUAGUGUAAGUUGUGAUGUUCAGUUUCUCCUUCUUCAAUGUGCUGAAUAUUGCUGAUGCCGAUUCGUAUUGUCCCCUUCUGCGUUUUGAUUUUAACUUAUUUAUGCCGAUUUGGUUUGGGGUUUUGUUUUUUGUGAAAGCCCACCGGUUUUUUAGAUUGGAUUCAAAAAAAAAAAAAAAACACAAUUAAGAUUUCGAUUUUUUGUUUGCUGUGUCAAUUUCGUUAUUUGUCGCAUUUGCAUGGUGCGUAUGUGGGUCUGGUUAAUCUCUUUUGAAUAUGGGUUUGGCAGGUUAGACCCUGCUUGGGACUUUUGUAUACUUUAGUGUUGCAAAAAUGUUUGCUUGUACUAGCUUUGAUUGGGGCUUGUAUGGUUAUGCGAGGAGCCCUCACACCGGCUAUUUCCGGUAUGCUAUGGAUCUUCUUCUUUCUUGUGCAUUUUGCUUCAAUUUGAUCUUGCAGGUGCUUGUUUGUUAAUGUUUGACUGGUUAGUGCUAUUGCAUAAUUUUAUUUUAAUUUUUCCUUAAGUUUGUCCUAGUGCAUGUUUGUUAGUUCCUAUUUUGUGUGAUCAAUUCUUAAGAAUUUGAUUUUGUUUCGGCUCAUGUUUAGGCUAUGGGGUGCUUGUAUUGGGGGAUUUAGUUUUCUGGCCAAAUACUUGUGCAUUUUUUCCCCUGCAUUCCUAAUGAAGUUUGCUUGAAUCUGGGCUUGUGGGUAUAGGUUAGUUAGUGGAUUGACUAAUAAGUUUUCCUUUUCUCAAAUACAUGUGCAGUUUUUAGUGCUGUUUCUGGAGUGGAGCUUGCUAUGUCAAAAUAGCAUCAUAAAUAAUUCAAGGAGGGAACAAUGACUUCUCAACCUCCUGCACAGCUUUUGUGACGGGCAAUCGAGACUCUAGCUCAUCCGAACAACACCGUGGUGUCCUUGCACAUUCUUGUAGGGGAGCAAAGGAAGAACAAGUCAAUGGCAAAUAGUCAAACACAAUGUUGCCGAGCAAAAGCAUGUUAUACCAGUGAUGGGUGAAUUUGCCACAAUGUGUUGGUCUAAACAGGUGAAUUUGGAGGCAAGAGUUGGAUUGAGCUCUAGUGUUGGGAUAGGUUUAAUUGAGGAAGCAACACACUUAUUAGCAGAAUUCCUUCUUAUCGGCCAACCGAGAAAUAAAUCAAAUCAGUGAGAGAACUGCUCAAUAUAGUAUUAAACUGAAGCAUGUUUGUUUUGCACAAUUAACUCAAAAUAUUCAGUCUUUAAUAUGUUGUUCUCCAAUUUUUU